GUGUGCCACUGGCUUCCGAACGGCUCGUGUACUCAUGAACCUCAGGCCAAAAUAAUGAUCUUCUCUUUCGUAUUCCUCAUUGCGAUAUCAACCGUUCAAGCUCAUGGUUCAAAUUGUUGCAUGAAAGCUAAUGGUUCAUGCCGCAGCGCUUGUGAGCAGCUAUAUUUGGGGACCAUAGCCGAUUUGGAAACGAAACAGCAAAGAUCGCUGGAUGUGCGAAACUUCUGUUCUCCCAGUCUC